CCUACGGGUGGCUGCAGUGGGGAAUAUUGGACAAUGGGGGGAACCCUGAUCCAGCCAUGCCGCGUGUGUGAAGAAGGCCCUCGGGUUGUAAAGCACUUUCAGUGAGGAAGAACGCCUGGUGGUUAAUACCCAUCAGGAAAGACAUCACUCACAGAAGAAGCACCGGCUAACUCCGUGCCAGCAGCCGCGGUAAUACGGAGGGUGCGAGCGUUAAUCGGAAUUACUGGGCGUAAAGCGCGCGUAGGUGGCUUGAUAAGCCGGUUGUGAAAGCCCCGGGCUCAACCUGGGAACGGCAUCCGGAACUGUCAAGCUAGAGUGCAGGAGAGGAAGGUAGAAUUCCCGGUGUAGCGGUGAAAUGCGAAGAGAUCGGGAGGAAUACCAGUGGCGAAGGCGGCCUUCUGGACUGACACUGACACUGAGGUGCGAAAGCGUGGGUAGCAAACAGGAUUAGAUACACCAGUAGUC
rnacentral:rRNA from 1 species